GAUGAACGCUGGCGGCGUGCCUAACACAUGCAAGUCGAACGGACAUUUUUUGGAAAGCUCUUCGGAGCUGGAAUCUAAAUGUUAGUGGCGGACGGGUGAGUAACGCGUGAGCAAUCUGCCUUUCAGAGGGGGAUAACAGCCGGAAACGGCUGCUAAUACCGCAUGACGCUUCUUAGGGGCAUCCCUGAGAAGUCAAAGCUUUAUGUGCUGAAAGAUGGCCUCGCGUCUGAUUAGCUAGUUGGUGGGGUAACGGCCCACCAAGGCGACAAUCAGUAGCCGGUCUGAGAGGAUGAACGGCCACAUUGGGACUGAGAUACGGCCCAG
rnacentral:rRNA from 1 species